rnacentral:rRNA from 1 species
UCGAUUUGGAGUUUGUUGCCCUGAGUGAUGGGCUCCGAAGCUAACGCGAUAAAUCGACCGCCUGGGGAGUACGGCCGCAAGGUUAAAACUCAAAUGAAUUGACGGGGGCCCGCACAAGCGGUGGAGCAUGUGGUUUAAUUCGAUGCAACGCGAAGAACCUUACCUGGUCUUGACAUCCACAGAAUCUUGCAGAGAUGCGAGAGUGCCUUCGGGAACUGUGAGACAGGUGCUGCAUGGCUGUCGUCAGCUCGUGUUGUGAAAUGUUGGGUUAAGUCCCGCAACGAGCGCAACCCUUAUCCUUUGUUGCCAGCGAUUCGGUCGGGAACUCAAAGGAGACUGCCGUUGAUAAAGCGGAGGAAGGUGGGGACGACGUCAAGUCAUCAUGGCCCUUACGACCAGGGCUACACACGUGCUACAAUGGCGUAUACAAAGGGAGGCGACCUCGCGAGAGCAAGCGGACCUCACAAAGUACGUCUAAGUCCGGAUUGGAGUCUGCAACUCGACUCCAUGAAGUCGGAAUCGCUAGUAAUCGUGAAUCAGAAUGUCACGGUGAAUACGUUUCCCGGGCCU